rnacentral:lncRNA from 1 species
AUCUUAUCCAGUGUUGACCUCAGAGUGAGUAUCUCCUAAUCACCUGCUACUUGAUGGAUUAAAGCGGGUAAGUGCUACAGCUGCCCACAGAAAUGCUUUACAGAAUCCUAAACAGGGAGGCACCCAGUUGAAAACAGAAAAAAUACAUAUGUUUUUGUUAGCUCCAGUGGCAACAGGGAUCAACAGUCACAAUGAUAGAGGAAGGGGCAUUCAAGGAACCAUUAAUGAGCAAUGUGCCUCC